AUGCACCAGCAAUGCAGUCGUCUAAUCCCUUUUGCUUCUUCAUGCAGUUCGUGGCGCUUCUUUGUGCGGGCCCGUGUGCGUCACUCUCAAGGCCCAUGCCGGCGAUAACGUUCGCGCUCCAGCGAGCCUUGUGCUAUUGGACUUUGGCUUCGGCAAAACAAUCAAACUCGGCAGGAAUUUGGACGCAGAUGUGAACGACAUUUUGCAGCUUUGGAAAGUUGGUCUGUCACCAGCCGAGUCCCCCUUCUGUGGUGCAACGUCUUUGUGCUACAUUAUGUCUUUACACGUAUGCGACAGAGUCGGAUCAAAUGAGAUGGCUACAGUUGAGCCUGCAGCGUACCGAGGCCAGCCACCAGCCCAGCUCAACUUUGGCAGUGCCAGACCUUUGGGCUUAGACUUCCCCAGAUUAAUGGGACCAACUAGUCGGAUCCAAUAAGGAAUGGCCACAGCUCAGCCAACUACUUGCGACCUUAUUCCUUCCAUAGAUUUGUUCGCCGACACACAGUAUCCCCGUUUUUGUUGACGUGUAAUUCUCAAAACCUAUGGCGGCGAAAUACCGUACAGUUGGUUUUGUGUCAUGCCUGCCUUUUUUCAGCAUUACAGAGCAGGAGCGACGUAACUAAACAAUGCUCCUUGAUCAUAUUCAGUUGUGUCUUGCUCGAUUUGUGUGGGAUUGUUUCGACGUAAUGUUUA